UUUUCAUGGUGCAUAAACAUAUUUAACUAGCCAGCGCAUGUAGGCAGACUUGCAAGUCCUAAAGCGUGAGAGCUCUUGAUCCGUGGAAAUAUUCUGUAAAAUAUAUGUUUGUUAAGUACUUUUGCUAAAUAGAAUCAAGCAGUGCAUCGUUUUAAAUACGAGUAAGUUAGCAUGUAGGCUACACUGUUUAAACAUGCCUGGCAGCGGAUGUAGUAAAACUCGCAAGCUCUAGAUGUCCUGCCCAGUUUGUGAAAUAUAAUUUAUGUGUUUGAAACCGUAGUAGAGUGUGUAUUUAUUCACGUAGUUUAAAUGUUUAGCUGUCAGUUCUGUGUGAUAUCAGUGCAAAUCCUUAGGUAGCAUGUUUUACAUAACAAACUUCACCUUAAACCACGGUGCGUGUUCAAGUGUGCAUUUUUACCGUAAACAAAAUAGAUUCACGUGUUGCUACUCCACAUGCCCUUGCUGUCACAAAACUAGAAGUUUUGAGAGUACAGAAAUGGUUGCUCAGAGGAUGUGAAAGGCAUGAUUCUUCUACCUCUCUCCUGUUUUGAUGAGAAAGAGGAGCUCCUCCAUUAUGUAGAAGAGACAAGCCUGGCAAAGGAUGUGGAGUUAGAAAACCUGCCUGUGACGCCUUGCAUUAUUGUGUGUGUGGACCCUCCUGCUAUGCUGCUGUCCGAUUCAUGCUAGCUGUGGACCGCAAGAUUGUGAAUGAUGACAUCACUUCUUUCAUCUCUGCUGUUUGCCUAAUGUUCUGCAGUUAUUACUGCUCCAAAAUUAACUACCCUACUGAACUGGCGUCAGUGCUUGAAUUCCUGCAAAGGUGUUUUUUUCAUCAUCAAUCCGGAGAAAGGGAAUAAAGGAGGUGGAAAAGAAAAACAAAAAGCUACUCCCAGUCUUCACCCUAAUCGCUGACCUUUCUGAUCAUGAAUGGCGAGAGACUUUGUAAAGGUGGUCUGCAGACUGUUUCCAAGUUUAUACUCGGGGUGAGAGACUUUGUAAAGGUGGCCUACAGACUGUUUCCAAGUUUUAAUCUCUUAAAGGGUUAUUUCAGGCUUGAAUCAAAUUUUCCCCAUGUUUUACUUACCCUCAAGGCAUCCUAAGUGAA